rnacentral:rRNA from 1 species
GUGUACCUACGGGGGGCAGCAGUGGGGAAUAUUGCACAAUGGGGGAAACCCUGACCCAGCAACGCCGCGUGAAGGAAGAAGGCUUUCGGGUUGUAAACUUCUUUUCUGAGGGACGAAGAAAGUGACGGUACCUCAGGAAUAAGCCACGGCUAACUACGUGCCAGCAGCCGCGGUAAUACGUAGGUGGCAAGCGUUAUCCGGAUUUAUUGGGUGUAAAGGGCGUGUAGGCGGGAAAGCAAGUCAGAUGUGAAAACUCAGGGCUCAACCCUGAGCCUGCAUUUGAAACUGUGUUUCU